GUGCCAGCAGCCGCGGUAAUACGUAGGGGCCUAGCGUUGUCCGGAUUUAUUGGGCGUAAAGAGCUCGUAGGCGGCACGGUUAGUCAGGUGUGAAAUCUCCACGCUCAACGUGGAGGGGUCACCUGAUACUGCCGAGCUUGAGUCCGGUAGGGGAGUGUGGAAUUCCCGGUGUAGCGGUGAAAUGCGCAGAUAUCGGGAGGAACACCCGUAGCGAAGGCGGCACUCUGGGCCGGUACUGACGCUGAGGAGCGAAAGCGUGGGGAGCAAACAGGAUUAGAUACCCUGGUAGUCC
rnacentral:rRNA from 1 species